rnacentral:misc_RNA from 1 species
GAUGAAGAACGCAGCGAAAUGCGAUAAGUAAUGUGAAUUGCAGAAUUCAGUGAAUCAUCGAAUCUUUGAAUGCACCUUGCACCCUUUGGUAUUCCGAAGGGUAUGCUCGUUUGAGUGUCAUUGUACUCUCACACUUCUAAUUCCUUUCGGGAUUGGGAGCGGUGGACUUGGGUGUUGCUGCUUUAGUUGUGGCUCACCUCAAAUAAGUUAGUGCAACUCUUGGUUGGACAUAGUACGGCGUGAUAAGUGUCUUCGCCGGCGCCUCUGUAAGGAGGGUGGCCGAUCGGGAGCUCUGUGCUUCAAACCGUCUUCGGACAAUCUUUGACAACUUGACCUCAAAUCGAGUAGGACUACCCGCUGAACUUAAGCAUAUCAAUAAGCGGAGGA